rnacentral:rRNA from 1 species
AGUGAACGCUGGCGGUAGGCCUAACACAUGCAAGCCGAACGGCAGCACAGGAGAGCUUGCUCUCUGGGUGGCGAGUGGCGGACGGGUGAGGAAUACAUCGGAAUCUACUUUUUCGUGGGGGAUAACGUAGGGAAACUUACGCUAAUACCGCAUACGACCUACGGGUGAAAGAAGGGGAUCUUCGGACCUUGCGCGAUUGAAUGAGCCGAUGUCGGAUUAGCUAGUUGGCGGGGUAAAGGCCCAACAAGGCGACGAUCCGGACCUGGUCUGAAAGGAUGAUCGGCCACACUGGAACUGAGGCAGGGUCCAGACUCCUACGGGGGGAAGCAGCGGGGAAUAUUGGACAAUGGGCGCAAGCCUGAUCCAGCCAUACCGCGUGGGGGAAGAAGCCCUUCGGGUUGUAAAGCCCUUUUGUUGGGAAAGAAAUCCAGCUGGCUAAUACCCGGUUGGGAUGACGGUACCCAAAGAAUAAGCACCGGCUAACUUCGUGCCAGCCGCCGCAGUAA